AACGAACGCUGGCGGCAGGCCUAACACAUGCAAGUCGAACGCCCUAGCAAUAGGGAGUGGCAGACGGGUGAGUAACGCGUGGGAACCUUCCUUAUGGUGCGGAAUAACUCGCCGAAAGGCGUGCUAAUACCGCAUAAGCCCGCAAGGGGAAAGAUUUAUCGCCAUAAGAUGGGCCCGCGUAGGAUUAGCUAGUUGGCGGGGUAACGGCCCACCAAGGCUACGAUCCUUAGCUGGUUUGAGAGAANGACCAGCCACACUGGGACUGAGACACGGCCCAGACUCCUACGGGAGGCAGCAGUGGGGAAUCUUGCGCAAUGGGCGAAAGCCUGACGCAGCGACGCCGCGUGAGGGAUGACGGCCUGG
rnacentral:rRNA from 1 species